UGUUCCUUAAAUAGGGACUUGUAUCAACGGCAUCACGAGGGCUACACUGUCUCCUCUUUUUAAUCAGUUAAACUGAUCUCCCCGUGAAGAAGCGGGGAUUCUUUUAUAAGACGAGAAGACCCCAUGGAGCUUUAAGCAAUGUAUUUACCUUUUCUUCUAUAUCAACAUCAACCAAAACCUCUAAAUACUAGCUUUAGGUUGGGGAGACCACGGAGUAAAAAUCAACCUCCGUAACAAACAGGCUCUGCCUUAAUCUAAGGGUGACAACCCUAAGAAUCAACAAACUGAUGUCUUAUGAUCCAAUCACUUGAUUAAUGAACCAAGUUACCCUGGGGAUAACAGCGCAAUCUACUUCAAGAGCCCCUAUCGACAAGUAGGCUUACGACCUCGAUGUUGGAUCAGGGUGUCCCAGUGGUGCAACCGCUA
rnacentral:rRNA from 1 species